GUAUCCGUUAACAACUUAGACUUCAGAUCAAGUUUUCUUCCCACAAGUUUAGGUUUAGAGCAAGCUUUAAACUAUAACAGUUACGUCUAAACUUGAGAGAGAACUCAAAUUUGAAAAUUAGGCAGAGCAACUAUUCAUCAUAUCCAUGCUAGAGUUUUAUUUAGAUUCAGUUUACCAUAGCCACUUUAUUUAUUUAUUAAACACACUAAGGAAAAGACAUAUAUAUAUAAGUACAAAAUCUUUAUUUGGUUUUUCAUAGCUAUGUAUAUUUAUAUUUUAAUAUAGUAUAGGUAUAAAGAUAGAUUGAAAUACUUAGCGAGAUAAAUGGGGGUGCUCUCCCCCAAGCUGAAUUUUGUUGUAAUUUCUUCUGAUGUAGCUAGCAGGUGGCAGAGGUGUAUUUGAAAGUCGGCAGUAUCCUGACAGAGAUUAGAAUGUCCUCCGUCUGCUAGUCUUCUUGGUUCUUGAAUUCUGUGGAGCUCAAAUAGACAACAAAGCUUUGUGGAACUGAUUAGGUGUUAGCAUAAAUAUCUAGCCUUUAUCAUAUUGAGCCUCCUUAAUAAAUAUUAAUCUCUAUUUUUAUAUUUUUCGUUUUAUAAAGUAGAAAAGAAAUAUUUAUUUUAUUUUUAUGUCACCAUAGUGAAUGUACUUAUGGGUUUCAUGCCACUCGUAUACUCACAUGGGGCUUUAACAUUUUUUUUAGGAUAGUAUGAACAUAAUUAACUAAGUGAACUAUUUAAAAUAAUUGAAAGGGAAAUGAUAACUACCAAGUUUACCUCUUGGCAAGGCGUUCGGUGUUUUUAAGUCCUCCGAACGGGACUCUCCGUUUUCUUCAGUUCUCCUGGGGUUCGUUGGGUGGCGUAGUCGGUGCUUCUGGCGGCGCCUCUUCUUCGUGUAUAGUUAUCUUCUCUCUCCACACCUGACUCGGUGCUACGGUCUUCUCAGGAUAAUUCUGUUUAAACUGUAUGUCCUCAGAUCUUAUCACUUCUCCUUCAUAGUCUGCCCAUCCGUCCUUGAUGAUUUGCCUCUUCUGGUUGUGGUUGCGUCGUCCUCUGACCUGCUUAGAGUCUUCAACGAUAUAGUUAGGGUCAAUAAAAUAGCGGCGUACCUUCUCUGAGGGGAAGUGCAUAUGGACUUCUCCAGUUCCAAUGUAGAUGAUUGCUUUAACGGUGAUGAGGAAUGGUCUUCCAAGGAUGAUGGGUGGAUCGUAUUCGUCUUCGCCUAUGUCAAUAACCUGAAAGUCUGUGUAGUCAAAAUGAUCGUCUAUUUUGACUGGGACAUCAGUUACUGUACCUUUAACCUCUCGAAAUGUCUGAUCUGCCAUCUGGAGCUGAAUGUAUGUUGGUUUUAGGGGCAUGGUUCCGAACAAGAGCCAAUAGGUGACUGCGGCCAUUAUGUUGAUGCCCGAUCCGGUGUCGCAAAACGUCUUGUAGAAGUUGUAUCCAUUUAUGGAGCAAUAGAUGCUUGGCAUUCCUGGGUCGUCCUUCUUGGUCAGAAACGGUGACUUUAGUCGAUGAUCUUGACCUUCAUGAACUGCAGUGACCAUCUUAGCUGACUCGGUCCACACUUGCUUGUUCCUGUUCCUCCUGUUGGUCCUCUUCCUUGGUUCAUGUCUAGAUUGCUCUGGGAUUUGUGUAGUCUUGUUCUUGAAGGAAAACGUCUCCUUCCUUCCCUUGAUGUAGAAACUGAUCUUGGCAGCACUAGCGUAGAUGACAGCUCCCAAAGUGUUUAAGAAUGGCCUCCCUAAGAUGAUGGGUGCCCUCUCAUCAUUAUCGGUCUCUAUCACCACGAAGUCUGCUGGGGCAUACAAGGUACCAAGUCGAACACAAAGGUUCUUCAAUAUUCCCUUGGGGAAACUUAAUGCCUGAUCUGCAAACUGCAAACACAUGGUUAUUUCUAAUAAAGGAUAUGUAAAGAAUUUUUCAUAGAGUACCCUGGGCAUAAUGUUGACGCUGGAUCCAAAGUCGCAGAGUGCUUCUGGGAAGUCCACCAUGCCGAUGGAGAUCGGGAUGACAGGGUGUCCUGGAUCGCCUCUCUUGACCGGCAGAAGGUCAGUAGUAACUUCAGUGACGAGGUUACUCCAAUUACCUGCAUCAAACAUGUCUACAAGAUUUGCAGAUUCUAAUCCUUCCGGUUGUGUUGGUAUACCGGGGUUAGUAGUAGGAACAACAACAGCUAUUUGAUUUAACUGAGAUUCAAUCAUUUUAUUAAAGCUAAUUUGAUUCUUGAUGGCAGUAGAGAAAUUAUCCAUUCUAUUAUUUAUAUUUUCUAGCAUUUUAUCAUUAGAUGUCAAUUUCUUAGAUAAAUUAUCCAUUGGCUUUCGUUGAUUAGACACUAACUCUCUCAGAGGUGGAAAUUUAUUAGUAUUAUUGUAAGAAUUAUUACCUUGAUAAUUACCUGAGUAGUUAGGCCUCUGUUGAUUCCAACCUUGAUUUUGUUGAGGACGGUUGUAGUAGUAGUAGUAGUAGUUGUUGUUGUUGUUGUUGUUGUUGAUGUAGUUCACAUCCUCAAGCAUCUCAAGACAGUGACUGCCUGAGUGUCCAGUAUCUCCACACUCCUCACAAGUCAUGUGAGAGUCGUAGAUGUGCAUAACUUCUUUCUUAUCUCCAGCUCUAUCAUCGAGCUUCUUCAUGAGCAGGUCUAGCUUUGCAGACAGCAUGUCUACCUCCUUGAGCUGAUGCAUACCUCCACCUUUCUUGCGCGUCUGGGUCCUCUCUUCAUUCCAGCCUUGAUUGGACGCCAUCUUCUCCACAAGAGCUGUGGCUUGUGGUAUGGUGAGUGAUAGGAAUGCUCCUCCAGCUGCAUCAUCCAUGGUCUCUCGGGCACUGUUGCCGAGCCCAUGAUAAAACGUCUGCAUUAGUAGCCAGCUCUCCAUUCCAUGAUGGGGACAUUCUAGGAUGUAGUCUUGGAAGCGCUCCCAUGCUUCUAGAACGGAUUCAUCAUGUUAUUGCUAAAAACUUGUAAUCUUCCCAUGGAGAGCAUUGGUCUUGCCCAUGGGAAAGAACUUAGCCAGAAAGUUCGUGGAGCAGAGUGCCCACGUAGUAUUCUUCUCCUUUGUAGCGUAGAACCACUGCUUCACUCUCCCUAAUAGUGAGAAUGGGAAGAGGCGAAGUAGUAUAGCAUCUCUAGGGACUCCUGAUAUGGUAAAUGUGCUGCAAAUCUGCAGAAAGUGUUGGAGAUGAGCACUAGCAUCUUCGUAUGCCUUCCCACUGAACUGGUUGCAUUGCACCAUGUUGAUAAGUCCAGGCUUGAGCUCUAAGUUGCCAUCGAUCUCUGCAGCAGGUCCAGUGCGGAUGUUGUCCAUAGUGGGAGCUGAGAACUCACGGAUCGAUUUGUUCGCCAUGGCUUCGAACUCUGAAGACAAGUUCCGGUCAUCUUCUUGAUUGGAUGAAGCUUCGUGCUGAAGUGUUGAUGAUCUCUUCUUGAGCUUGGCUCUUGUUUUUCUGAAUAACGCUUCGGGAUUAUCAACAAAAUUUCCUGGAAGAUGUCUUCUAUUCAUACAUUACCGUGCAUAAGAUAAAAUAGGAAAAUAUCGGGGUAAAACUGUAUGAGAGAGUUGAUAAGCUCAAUCAUAUUAGUGAUGCGAAUGAUGACUCAAAAUCCUAUAUCCAUUCCUGAUUAGUAAUCAACCUUCCCUGGCAACGGCGCCAAAAAUGCUUGUUGGGUAUUCUUAACGUCUGUUGAUAUUUGGUAACGCAAUUAGACAAUGAUCCGCAAGCGCACGGAUAUCGGUGAGCAUUUCACCCGGGAGGUUUUCCAGAGUAUCGUAUUUAUAUUUUUACCACUGGGAGAAAGGGUGCAUCUGACUAACCAAAUCUAUUGCUACUAUCCCUUUAGGCUACAAAGAAUGUCUCUCGAUGUGAGUGAUGUAUAGAGAAGACUGCAACCGUAGUCUCGUUCUAACCUUAGUAAGGAUGAUCUACUGUUCUAUUGGGGAGGCUCACGGAAUCUAGACAACACAAAGGAUGUUCGACCCGCACCUAUAAACCUACCCGUCCUGCUAACGAGAUGUGAUCUGCAAAGGUAACUCGGAAAUGUCACGUUCCUCGCUACUACCACGGUCCAGCUAGUCAGGGGAUAUCUAUGAGUACCCUAGCCUAAACACCACGUUUACGCUAACAAGUGAUUACUCUAAUACUCAACCGGAAGAGGAUUAAAGUAAACUCAUAAACCAAAGAACAAUAAAACAAGAACUUACUAGUAUUAGAAGUCGAAUUACUGAAGAAUCUUAGAAGCAAGCCUCGGGUUAGGAGACUUGAUCCCGCAGGUACAACUCGGAGUAGACACCGACAGGCCGGCCUUCCUCCGAUCUACACCUCCACUCUAUCUCUCUCAAUCUAGUAGAAACUAGAAGAUCUAUUUCUACCUUACAUUGGUUGCUAAGCCUAAAAAGAAAUAUUAUUUAGAGAAGAGGUUUUCCUUCGAGGGCACCCCUCAAUCUCUAUGAUAAUUUCUUGUCUCCUCCAGGGGCCAGAGGGGGUCUCCUUAUAUAGUCCUCCCCUUCUAUGCGUUUUUGGGUCAAUAGGCGAGGUGGUACUAUGUUAUUCUGGAUCCAAUAGGUCAGUGGAACGUCGUGUGCGAAGAGAGUCCGGAACGGAGUCCAGAGGGGGGCGGGCGCCCAGGUCCUCAGGGCGGGCGCCCUGGGCCUGGCCCCUUUCGGGCUCCGCUUCCUUCCCGUGGCUUCUGGAGUCUUCUAGAUGGUAGAAAAUUGCGCGGUGGGUUGAUAUCUCUAUGUAAUCCCGACAUGUGGGCCUUUCUUCCUUAUUUCCUCAUAACCCCCUGCAGAAAUAGACAAACACCAAAACUCGUGGAAUUCUGUCAGAUAAAACCCUAAGUCUAGAUGUUGAUUUCAUUUGGAUCCUUUUCUUUGUUUAUUUGAUAAUUAAAUUUGAUACUUAAGGACCGUCAACAAACUCCCCCAAGCUUACCUCUUGCUCGUCCCUGAGCAAGGAUGAACUCAAGAGUUUCUGCAGUGGUUUCAUUUCUUAGAAGUACACACGCAUUCAAGCAAGAUCUCAUCUCUGAGUUAGAAUAAACUGUUAAGACUUAAAACUUACUUACUUUACCUACACCAUAGGACUUGUAACCGUCACUUCUGUCUUGAGUGGUUAAAAGAUAGAACAGUCUAGCCAAGUGCCAUGUUUCUUAUUCUUGAUCAGCUAUAGCUCUGGGGUUUUUGCAGAUUUUCAAAUAAAACUCAGAAAUUCCUUGUAUGAUUCUCUCUGGUCUCUCUUUUGUGGUAUUUUUGGAUCCUUACCAAGGCAGUGAUGGUAUAUGCCUUCUCUCAAGAUAUGUAGUAUUUGUGGUAUGAAGCAUAGUGACAUUGUCUUCUCUCUCACCCUACUCUAAUAAGGCUUUAAUAUCUGAAGCUCAUAGGUGGGAGAUAAAGUAUACAUACUUACAAGACAUUUAUUGCAUAGUCAAACCAUGGAUCCAAAGAAACAAAUCAAUAAGCCAAAUCAAGAUGUGCAUGUGUGGCGAAUGAAUGGUGUAUGUUGAUGAUGGUGAUAACAAUGGUGAAAACAAUGGAGGUGGAAGUCUAAUUCUACUUUGCUCUUUGAGGGGAUACAUACCUUCCUUGCUUUUUGAAACUUUAUGAGGAGAAUGAGAUGCUCAUGUUUUUCUUUUCUCUCAGGUGGGUAUCUUGUACCCCUAAUUUCUAAUGUCGGACACUUGUCCAUUUUUACCUCUCGUCUCACUUUUUCUUUUCUUUCGAGGUUCCGAGCACUUGCUCCUUUUUAUUUCCUCGUAUCUCUCUUUUUUUCAGAGCAUUCAUCUCUUGAGAUAAUAUAGUAAGUGGUAGUAACAAGAUAACUUGAGCAUUUAUUUCACAAGGGAAAAACAGAAAUAUUUUUGGUUAUUCUCUCCCGGAUUAGGAGUAGAAUACUAUUGGGUGGUUUUGGAGAUGGAAAUGAGUGGAUAUAUGUGGAUGGUACUUCCGGAGUAGAAGUAGCAUGUAUGAGUGAACGUGCAAGUGAAUCUUGAUUUAACCACAUGACAAGCUCCUAAGGGUCUACACAGCUUGACCACACUCAAUGCUCAUAAGCAGUAAAUAGUAAAUGUGUGGCUCAAGGUCUAGCAAGCAUGUAUAUAUGGCUGUGGUAGGAAUUUAAACUCUCAUCAUACAGGAACUCAUCAUGUGUUAUUUUAAAGAUAUUUUUUUUAAAAGAUAAAAUUUUCCAGAAUUCUAGCAUCUCUAGGAACAGAUCAACAGCAGCUCAACCUUCCCAUAUCGUAUCCGUUAACAACUUAGAAUUCAGAUCAAGUUUUCAUCCCACAAGUUUAGGUCUAGAGCAAGCCUCAAAUUAUAACAGUUAUAUCUAAACUUGAGAGAGAACUUCAAAUUUGCAAAUUAGGCAGAGCAACUAUUCAUCAUAUCCAUGCUUAAGUUUUAUUAGAUACAGAUUAGCAUAGCCACUUUAUUUAUUUAUUAAACACACUAAGCAAAAUAUAUAUAAGCAUAAAAUCUUUAUUUGGUUUUUCAUAGUUAUGUGUAUUUAUAUUCUAAUAUAGUAUAAGUA
rnacentral:lncRNA from 1 species